GUGCCAGCAGCCGCGGUAAUACAGAGGUCCCGAGCGUUGUUCGGAUUCAUUGGGCGUAAAGGGUGCGUAGGCGGUCUUCUAAGUUUGAUGUGAAAUCCCGGGGCUCAACCCUGGAAUUGCAUUGAAUACUGGAGGACUAGAGUACCGGAGAGGAAACUGGAAUUUACGGUGUAGCAGUGAAAUGCGUAGAGAUCGUAAGGAAGACCAGUGGCGAAGGCGAGUUUCUGGACGGUAACUGACGCUGAGGCACGAAGGCCAGGGGAGCAAACGGGAUUAGAUACCCUUGUAGUCC
rnacentral:rRNA from 1 species